GAAAUAAUAAAAAAUCGGAAACCUUAUUUCAUUGUUGUGAACUACAUUAAAAUAAUGCAAAAAUGAUAAAUAAUCCAAUUACAAAUUAUAAUAAUAUUUGAAAAUUUCAAAAUUGAACUAUAUUAUUGCCUCAAAAAUAUUUUAAAAAUCUUCUAUAGGAUUUUCUCACGCGUCUUCGCUUUUAACAGCACCAGCAUCAUAUGUAACAUCAUCAUCUGCUUCCUAUAACGACACAUAUUAUACUAUCAUUACACAAACAUAAACAAAUCAGAAUAAACUGACCCGAAAACAAGACAAGAUAAUAAGCAACAACUCACCCACACUACUCACUCAUUCUUUCCAAUCCAUGAAAUCACAUCACAUUCAUAAAACACAAUAACUCAUACCCACCAAAUGAUACUAAACAACAUCACACGAAAUCACAUCACCACAACCAAUAUUGCUUAAACCCAAAGCUUUACAGUCAAGAUCGUUUUCCCAUGUUUUCAUAAGCCUUACCAGUAUCAACUCUGAUUAAGCUCAAAACAAAACAAC
rnacentral:lncRNA from 1 species